rnacentral:rRNA from 1 species
GACGAACGCUGGCGGCGCGCCUAACACAUGCAAGUCGAACGAGCGAGAGAGAGCUUGCUUUCUCGAGCGAGUGGCGAACGGGUGAGUAACGCGUGAGGAACCUGCCUCAAAGAGGGGGACAACAGUUGGAAACGACUGCUAAUACCGCAUAAGCCCACGGGUCGGCAUCGACCAGAGGGAAAAGGAGCAAUCCGCUUUGAGAUGGCCUCGCGUCCGAUUAGCUAGUUGGUGAGGUAACGGCCCACCAAGGCGACGAUCGGUAGCCGGACUGAGAGGUUGAACGGCCACAUUGGGACUGAGACACGGCCCAGACUCCUACGGGAGGCAGCAGUGGGGAAUAUUGCACAAUGGGGGAAACCCUGACGCAGCAACGCCGCGUGCGGGACGAAGGCCUUCGGGUUGUAAACCGCUUUCAGCAGGGAAGACAUAGACGGUAC